rnacentral:rRNA from 1 species
UACGAAGGGGGCUAGCGUUGUCCGGAAUCACUGGGCGUAAAGGGCGCGUAGGCGGCUUGAUAAGCGUGCGGUGAAAGCCCGGGGCUCAACCCCGGGUCGGCCGUGCGAACUGUCGAGCUGGAGCACUGUAGAGGCAGGUGGAAUUCCGGGUGUAGCGGUGGAAUGCGUAGAGAUCCGGAAGAACACCGGUGGCGAAGGCGCUCAUCUGGCCCAAUACUGACGCUGAAGCGCGAAAGCUAGGGGAGCAAACGGG